GUGGAAUCUCAGUCUGGUUGUAGGGAUACAGUGAUCAGGUGACGAUGGAUUUCUCAAGUGACAAUCUCGUAGCGUGGUCACGAUAUCCAUAUAACACAGAUAGCAACUGUUUUUUCCCUCCC
rnacentral:pre_miRNA from 1 species